rnacentral:pre_miRNA from 1 species
AAGGCAGCCUUGCAGUAUUUGUACUACACAUAGGUACUGGUGAAAACGUGUUUAACCAGUGCCUGGUCUAGUGCAAGCACUGCUCCAAGCCUAUUUAGCU